rnacentral:rRNA from 1 species
UACAGAGGUCCCAAGCGUUGUUCGGAUUCAUUGGGCGUAAAGGGCGCGUAGGUGGUUUUGUAUGUCUACCGUGAAAGCAUACAGCUCAACUGUAUUUUGUCGGUAGAAACUGCAGGACUUGAGGCUGGGAGGGGCUGGUGGAAUUCCCUGUGUAGCGGUGAAAUGCGUAGAGAUGGGGGAGAACACUCGUGGCGAAGGCGGCCAGCUAGACCAGUUCUGACACUGAGGCGCGACAGCGUGGGGAGCAAACAGG